rnacentral:rRNA from 1 species
GACGAACGCUGGCGGCGUGCUUAACACAUGCAAGUCGAACGGAAAGGCCCUGCUUUUGUGGGGUGCUCGAGUGGCGAACGGGUGAGUAACACGUGAGUAACCUGCCCUUGACUUUGGGAUAACUUCAGGAAACUGGGGCUAAUACCGGAUAGGAGCUCCUGCUGCAUGGUGGGGGUUGGAAAGUUUCGGCGGUUGGGGAUGGACUCGCGGCUUAUCAGCUUGUUGGUGGGGUAGUGGCUUACCAAGGCUUUGACGGGUAGCCGGCCUGAGAGGGUGACCGGCCACAUUGGGACUGAGAUACGGCCCAGACUCCUACGGGAGGCAGCAGUGGGGAAUAUUGCACAAUGGGCGGAGGCCUGAUGCAGCAACGCCGCGUGCGGGAUGACGGCCUUCGGGUUGUAAACCGCUUUCGCCUGUGACGAAUCGUGAGUGACGGUAAUGGGUAAAGAAGCACCGGCUAACUACGUGCCAGCAGCCGCGGUGAUACGUAGGGUGCGAGCGUUGUCCGGAUUUAUUGGGCGUAAAGGGCUCGUAGGUGGUUGAUCGCGUCGGAAGUGUAAUCUUGGGGCUUAACCCUGAGCGUGCUUUCGAUACGGGUUGACUUGAGGAAGGUAGGGGAGAAUGGAAUUCCUGGUGGAGCGGUGGAAUGCGCAGAUAUCAGGAGGAACACCAGUGGCGAAGGCGGUUCUCUGGGCCUUUCCUGACGCUGAGGAGCGAAAGCGUGGGGAGCGAACAGGCUUAGAUACCCUGGUAGUCCACGCUGUAAACGGUGGGUACUAGGUGUGGGGUCCAUUCCACGGGUUCCGUGCCGUAGCUAACGCUUUAAGUACCCCGCCUGGGGAGUACGGCCGCAAGGCUAAAACUCAAAGGAAUUGACGGGGCCCCGCACAAGCGGCGGAGCAUGCGGAUUAAUUCGAUGCAACGCGUAGAACCUUACCUGGGUUUGACAUGGAUCGGGAGCGCUCAGAGAUGGGUGUGCCUCUUUUGGGGUCGGUUCACAGGUGGUGCAUGGCUGUCGUCAGCCCGUGUCGUGAGAUGUUGGGUUAAGUCCCGCAACGAGCGCAACCCUUGUUCACUGUUGCCAGCACGUUAUGGUGGGGACUCAGUGGAGACCGCCGGGGUCAACUCGGAGGAAGGUGGGGAUGACGUCAAGUCAUCAUGCCCCUUAUGUCCAGGGCUUCACGCAUGCUACAAUGGCUGGUACAGAGAGUGGCGAGCCUGUGAGGGUGAGCGAAUCUCGGAAAGCCGGUCUCAGUUCGGAUUGGGGUCUGCAACUCGACCUCAUGAAGUCGGAGUCGCUAGUAAUCGCAGAUCAGCAACGCUGCGGUGAAUACGUUCCCGGG